rnacentral:lncRNA from 1 species
UGUGUGACCUUGUGGAGCCGGCGUUGAUGGAGAUCGGUCUGUCCGUUGACCCGGAGGGAAGUGGGGGGUCGGUUGAGAGAGACCUUGCUGCUGCUGCUGCUGCUGCCACCGCUGAGGGAAGGACUGUCGUUGGCCGGUGCCCACGGCGGCUGUAGAAGGAAAGACCUGCUGGUCGAAGGAGGCCGUGGGUCGGAGGAGAUGGGGAUGACUCUGCCGUCCUCUUGUCGGCGGAGAUGAGGCCUUGGCUGGUCAGCGGCUGGAAAAGGAGAGAUGAGGAGAAUCGGCUGGUUAUGUUUUUGGCCGAAGGAGAGGAGAAGAAAGUCUGUGUGCAGAGGGGGCCGGUCUGUUUGGCCGAGAGUGAGAGCAACCAAAGGGAAGAUGGCCGGAGCCAAAAUGGGGGUCGGUUCGGUUUGUCUUUGGCAAAGAGAGGGGAAGUGGCCGGCUAUGGGAGAUGACCGGCGGUGUGGGAGAAGGAAGGAAAAGGAGAGCUGCGGUGGCUUGGGGGGUGAAGAAGAUGGUGGAACCGGCUGAAAAGGAAAACCAAAAACGUGGGGGGCGGCUCCUCUUGAAAAAAAGAUGGGUUUAGGGUUAGGUUUUUUUGUAUUUUUUUCUGAGGUUGUCAAAAUUGCCCCCCCAGGUUUUGAGUUAAAGGCUGCUAUUUAUAGGCAGAAUAUUUUUUCGGGCUUCAAAAUUGGUCCCUUAAUUUUUGUGUUUGGCCCCUAAUCUCAAUCAAUUCACUUGGUAAAACUUAAAUUGGGUCUCUUAAAAUUCCGAUCUUUUCAUUAAGCCCAAAUUAGGCUCCCAAACUUAAUUUUUCACCAAUUAAGCCCUCAAAUUAAUUUGACCCGCUUAAAGUAUAAUUAAGUCAUUGGACUUAAUUAACUCCUUCAAUUGGACCUAAAUUAAUUCUUAAACAUAAUUAAAAUUCAAUUUGGCCCAUGAUUAAAUCAAAUUGGCCCAUUAAAAAUUUAAUUAUGUCAUUGGACUUAAUUUUUAUGCAAAUUCGUCCAAUACUCAUUUAAUUUGACCUUUGAAUUUGUAUUUUUCUAUUUUUGGGCAUAACAGCGUACACUUGGGCCUUGAAAUUCCUCCGAAAAUUGCAGCUUGAUUUUCGCCUAUUUUUGCAGCCUUUCUUGGUCGGCUUUCUCUGAAUUGCCAGCCUUUAUUUUUUUUAUUAUUUUUUUUUAUUUUUUUGGGAAAAAAACGAAUUUUGGGGAAUCACCCAAAAUUAGGUGAUGACAGUUGCCCCCCUCUUUACAAUGCUUAUGGUAGAAAGUCUUACGAGACUUUAGAUAGUAAGCGUUGUAAAGAAGAAAAAAAGGAUGAGAUAUGAUUGACUCAUCUUGUUGAGGAAUGAUGAAUCCUCUUGAGGGCUAGGAAGCGCACUCGGAGUAAAAACUGGAAGAGUUUUUGAAAAUUCAAAGAUUUUGAAAUGGUCGAACUGUCAUGGGUGACCUACCCGGUGAAAUUUUUUUUUUUAGGUGGUCUCAUUGUAAAGGGUGACCUACCUAGGUGAAAAACCCGAAGAUUUUAAAGUGGUGAAAAAUACAAAGAUUUUUCGAAGUGGUGAGAAAUGUAAAGAUUUCUCAAAAUGGUUUCAUGGGAAAAAUUUGAAGGUGGUGAGAAACGCAAGGAUUUCUUAAAAAUGGUUUUAUUGUUAUGGGCAACCGGCCCAAAAAUAGAAAAAUUUGAAGGUGGUGAGAAAUGCAAGGAUUUCUUAAAAAUGGUUUUAUUGUUAUGGGCAACCGGCACAAAAUGGAAAAAAUGCAAAGAUUUCUCAAAAUGGUUUCAUUGUUAUGGGCAACCAGCCCAAAUAGAAGAUGAAAAGUGUUUUGAGAGAGGUCUGAUUACAAUGGGUGACCUACCCGGGCAAGAAGACAAAAUGUCUGAAAAGGAUGACAUUAUAGGACUCGAUGGGGAACAAGGGCUGAAGAGCACACUCGAAAGGAGGUAGGGUUAGAAAAACACGCUACCUAAGAAGUGAGGGCUUGAAGGAGCUUUCAAAAAGAGGCAGGGUUGGAGAACGCACUACCUAAGAGGUGAUUGAUGACUCGAAUGUGCACUUAAAAAGAGGCAGGGUUGGAAAACACACUACCUAAGGUGGUUGACGGCUCAAAGGCACACUAAAAAGGAGGCAUGGUUAGAAAACAUACUACCUAAGGUGGUUGAUGACUCGAAGCCGCACUUAAAAAGAGGAGGCAGGGUUGGAAAACACACUACCUAAGAUGGUUGGUGGCUUGAAGGCACACUAAAAAGAGGCAGGGUUGGAAAACACACUACCUUAGGUGGUUGAUGGCUCGAAGGCGCACUAAAAAAGAGGCAGGGUUGGAAAACACACUACCUAAGAUGGUUGAUGGCCCUAAGGCGCACUAAAAAGGAGGCAGGGUUGGAAACACACUACCUAAGAUGGUUGAUGGCCCUAAGGCGCACUCAAAAGGAAGCAGGGUUAGAGAACACACUACCUAAGGUGGUGGAUGGCUAGAAGGCGCACUCAAAGGGAGGCAGGGUUGGAAAAACACGCUACCUAAGAGGUUGAUGGCCCUAAGGCGCACUAAAAAGGAGGCAGGGUUAGGAAACACACUACCUAAGAUGGUUGAUGGCCCUAAGGCGCACUAAAAAGGAGGCAGGGUUAGGAAACACACUACCUAAGAUAGUUGGUGGCUUGAAGGCACACUAAAAAGGAGGCAUGGUUGGAAAACACGCUACCUAAGGUGUGAAGGCUCGAAAGCCCACUAAAAAAGGAGGCAGGGUUAGAAAACACACUACCUAAAGUGUGAGGGCUCGAAGGCCCACUCAAAAAGAAGGUAGAUAGGGCUAGAAAGCACACUACCUAAGAUGUGAGGGCUCGAAAGCCCACUCAAAAAUGGAGGCAGGGUUAGAAAACACACUACUCAAGGUGUGAGGGCUCGAAGGCCCACUAAAAAGGAGGCAGAUAGGGCUAGAAAGCACACUACCUAAGAUGCGAGGGCUCGAAAGCCCACUCAAAAAUGGAGGCAGGGUUAGAAAACACACUACCCAAGGUGUGAGGGCUCGAAGGCCCACUAAAAAGGAGGCAGAUAGGGCUAGAAAGCACACUACCUAAGAUGCGAGGGCUCGAAAGCCCACUCAAAAAUGAAGGCAGAUAGGGCUAGAAAGCACACUACCUAAGAUGUGAGGGCUCGAAAGCCCACUCAAAAAUGGAGGCAGGGUUAGAAAACACACUACUCAAGGUGUGAGGGCUCGAAGGCCCACUAAAAAGGAGGCAGAUAGGGCUAGAAAGCACACUACCUAAGAUGCGAGGGCUCGAAAGCCCACUCAAAAAUGGAGGCAGGGUUAGAAAACACACUACCCAAGGUGUGAGGGCUCGAAGGCCCACUAAAAAGGAGGCAGAUAGGGCUAGAAAGCACACUACCUAAGAUGCGAGGGCUCGAAAGCCCACUCAAAAAUGAAGGCAGAUAGGGCUAGAAAGCAUACUACCUAAGAUGUGAGGGCUCGAAAGCCCACUCAAAAAUGGAGGCAGGGUUAGAAAACACACUACCUAAGGUGUGAGGGCUCGAAGGCCCACUCAAAAAUGGAGGUAGAUAGGGCUAGAAAGCAUACUAUCUAAAUGGCGAGGGCUUAACAGCUCGCUCAAAGAGGUGAUGGUGAGACACUGCUAUGUCAAGGAUGAAAGCAAUGUAUCAUGAUCAAUAUGCAUGUAUACUUACCUGAGAAAUGUAGGUCCCCUUUCUUCAUGGAGUUCCCUUUUCUACAUGGAGUUCUCUUUUCUUCAUGGAGUUCUCAUUUUCUCAAAAGUUUGAGUCUCUGAUAGUAAACUUCGAUGGCUCUUUUCGCUCUUGCUUACUCGAGUCAUCUCUUGUGAUAUUGACCCCUGGGAAAGACUUGAUAUCAUCAUACUUCUUUGUCCUCCGCCCCUUUAUCUCAAGAGUUGCCAAUUUUGCCCAAUAGUUUCUUAGAAAAGGAAUCAUGGAGCCAGCUCUACCAGAUGUUUUUGAUUGCCCCUAGCUUGAUCAUGCCCGCAAGUAUUCAAUUCGGGUUUGGGGAUGAGGCUAUGUGAAGGAAGAUUUGGUUAUUUACAAGGAGUUGUUUUCAUGUAGAAUUUCUGGAAUUUCAAAGCUAUUCCAGAUACAGAAAUCAUUUUGACAUUGAUUCAAAGCAAACUCAUUCUGCAGAAAUUCAAGUGAUUCCUAUGGAGAGGUUUUCAGAAGUGAUGAAAACUUUUUGUUUUGAUUUUUGGUGAAAAAUAUAAAGUGACAUUUGGUUGGUCAUAAAAGGUUGAAAUUUCAAUUUGAGGGUUAAUGAGAACCGUGUUUCGACGAAAAUGUGAAGAACACGAAGUGACAUCUGGUUGGUCACAAAAAGGUUUAAAUUUCAAUUUGAGGGUUAAUGAGAACCGUUCUUCAAAGCAUUCAUUUUAUUUGCAUGAAUAAUAAUUUUGUUUCGCAUGAGAAAGCACUGCUUACCGAUCUAGAUUGCUUGCCUUUGAUCAGAAAGGGCUUGAUUAGGUACGUAAUGUAGGCUUGGGCUGUUGGCUAUGAAGAAAAAGGAUUUUCGUAGGCUCAAAAUGUGUUUAAAGGACUUUAAGACUAAGGAUCACUAGUGCUUAUAUCCCAAACUUUUUGUUCCUACAUUUCUGGACCUUGGAAUUGAUUUGUAAAAUGAUCCACGGUGCCCCCCAAUGUUGGGCUUGGGCUAUUUCUCUUUGUUUUUGUUUUCUUCAUUUGAUUUUGAGCACCAUUGCAUUUGCUCUUUUUUUUGUUUUUGCUCAAAAUUUUUGAAUCCUUUGGAUUUUUCUUCAUGCCCCCCAGCUUUGUAUGGGCACCUUCAAUUGAUUGAGAAUUUUCUUUUAUGCCCCCCAGUAUUGUUUGGGCACUUUCAAUCAUUGAUGACUUUUUCAUGCCCCCAAGAGUUAUUUGGGCACUUUCAAUCAUUAAGGAUUUUUGGCACUUGCCCCCCAGUGUAGGGUGUGAUCCUAGCCAAGGUUAUUUUUCAAGAAAAAUUUAUUAGGCUCAAAAGGGGACUGCAAAGGAUAUAUUUCAGCCUUGUGAAAGGAUUAUCAAAGAUGGCCUUUCUUCAUCUCAAAUGCAUGCAUUUAGGAUCGGUAAGCUUUGCUUUCAUGCGAGUAUGCAGAGUGAUUUCUCAUUAUUCAUGCAAAUAAAACUCCACUUUUGGAGUCACUUCAUUGUGUUUUUUUUUUUGGUUUUCUAGGUGUAUGCUUACCUCUCUAAGGAAUCACCUGAAUUUCCAGAACUUGUUUGUUUAAACAAACACCAACAUGAUUUCUGUUUUGUACUAAACUUUGAAUUCCCAAAAAUCCUUAUGAAAAUAUGCAUGGUUUUGGAAGGGGAAACACGCCCAAAGAUUCUUGGCGCAAUGGUUUCAUGUUCAAAGGUUAUGUUCAAUGUGUUAUUUACAUAAAACAACAACAAAAUAAAGACAUGUCAUGAACACUGGAAAAUACAUGACCUUAUUAACAAGUAAGGCUCAGUGGACAGGGAAAGUCUUAUGGAAUUUUGAGCCAAGUUACCGACAAAACUGGAAUAGGUUGAAAAAAUCAAGAAGUUUUUGCAGGCAUGAUCGAGCAGAGGUAUUUAUUAUUUUUUUUGGGCAGAACAAGAACAGGCUCCAUUCUGCAACGGUGGUGCAAUUCCCCUUCGGAUUGUGUUGAGGCUUUUGACCAUGUUUGCCUCCAAUUUCUUCGGGUUGAGUCAUUGUUGGGGUUUGAACAAAGAUGAUAGGUCAGUUGGAAGGAACUUCCUUAUAGAUAUUUUUCAAUAUUUGCUGGAGUAAGCCAGAAGCAAGUCAAGCUUUUGUUCAGAGACUCCAACUUUUUUGAAAAUGGGUGAUGCGGCGAGCACACUCUGUAUCUCCAACGUUUUCUUGCUCAAAAUUAGGUGUUGUAGCCUCGGAGGGGACCUACUUUUCAUUCUGGUGCAUGCAUGAAAAAAUGUAUGAACAUGAAAUCUAUAUGAUGAGCUCGCCCUUUAAGGGGUGACAUAUGAUCGUCACUCUUGCAUGAUGGAACAAGAAUCUUGAUUCUUGCCCAAACUCCACAAGUCUUGAGUUCAAGAUGCUUCAAGAAGAGUUCGCCCCAAUGCAAAUAAAUGAUAGCACAUACAACCUAAGGACAGGUUCUAUUCAUUAUGUGAACAUGGGUAGGUUUUCUACCUGGUCUCAAAAGGGUCUAUGAACUGCCCAGUGACCACCUCCCGUGAAGGCAGUAUAGGGGUUUACAAGGGAUGGUUGGGGCACUAUGUGACCGCCAUCACCAAGUAAACACUCAGCUCAUAGUUGGAUGUUUCACGAAUCUGAACCCCGACUGAAAGUCAUGAGGCAGACCGCUACUCCCCACCUAACUUAGAAGCUUGUGUGUGCUUUCAAAAAUAAAUACAAGUGAUGCAUGAAACACUUCUAAAAAUGCAUGGAUAAAAUAAAACAAGACAAAAAUGACAAAAUUUAAACACAUCAAAUACACAAAGCUUAGUCCAAUAUUGUCAGAAACAGUACCUCCCCAGUGGAGUCACCAUUCUGUCGCACGUCGGUAAACCCCGUGCGGCGUCCCGUCCUGGCGAUGGCGGUUUUUCUCUUUGUUAUUGGAAUUGAUUUUGUUGGGAGUCGCCACCUAGUAUUUAAUUGAGGGUUACUAGGAAACCCACACGUACUGGUCUUGUCAGAGAUUCGCGAGUAAGAGACUGGUUGCGGUUAGGGAAGGUAUUAGCACUCCUAACGCACCCUACCUGAGAUAAGCUGCUUCGUGACUGUGAUGUGUUAAAGAAGUUUUAAAAAUUUUAUCUUUUCAUCGGAUUUUAGAAAUACAACUUCCGUACAAGUUUGUACUUCUACACCGUGAUCCAAUCAAAAUAUUAAAUCCUUCUUUAUUCCUUGCAAUUUUAUCCAAAAAAAAAAUAUAUCCAUAAAAAAAAAACAUUCAAACACACACAUACAUUUUUUCUAUAUUUUUUCUUUUCUUUUUUUUUUUCUUUUUUACUUUUUUUUUCUUUUUUUUUUACAUCCACAAUACAAAUUAUAAUAUUCAAAACUAAAUAAAAUUUACAUCAAAUAAUCCAAAAUUUACAAAACAGUCCCCAAAACUCCGGGAAUUGCAAACGAGCCACUUCUGGAAUCGCAGCAACAGUGCUGGAACAGUGGCGGCGCGUCUUCCCACGCGCCGCCGCCGGUGAAGACCAGCAAGCUGGUAGAUCGGGAUCGUCUCCUUCUCCUCUUCUCUGUCCGUCCGUACCGGCGGUGCACCUCCCAGUCACCUGCAAAGCAAACCAACAACACAAACAGUUCCGGUUCUCCCCUUUUAGAUCUGCCUCGGGUCAGCUGUUAUGGGUUUCACCUUCUUCUCCUCUGCUUCGGGUAGCAGAUCGGGCGGCGCUGCAGCGCCUUAGUCGCGGUGAAAAGCUGGACUGGUGCUGUUGCUGUGUGACCUUGUGGAGCCGGCGUUGAUGGAGAUCGGUCUGUCCGUUGACCCGGAGGGAAGUGGGGGGUCGGUUGAGAGAGACCCGGCUGUGGGUUGCUGCUGCUGCUGCUGCCACCGCUGAGGGAAGGACUGUCGUUGGCCGGUGCCCACGGCGGCUGUAGAAGGAAAGACCUGCUGGUCGAAGGAGGCCGUGGGUCGGAGGAGAUGGGGAUGACUCUGCCGUCCUCUUGUCGGCGGAGAUGAGGCCUUGGCUGGUCAGCGGCUGGAAAAGGAGAGAUGAGGAGAAUCGACUGGUUAUGUUUUUGGCCGAAGGAGAGGAGAAGAAAGUCUGUGUGCAGAGGGGGCCGGUCUGUUUGGCCGAGAGUGAGAGCAACCAAAGGGAAGAUGGUCGGAGCCAAAAUGGGGGUCGGUUCGGUUUGUCUUUGACAAAGAGAGGGGAAGUGGCCGGCUAUGGGAGAUGACCGGCGGUGUGGGAGAAGGAAGGAAAAGGAGAGCUGCGGUGGCUUGGGGGGUGAAGAAGAUGGUGGAACCGGCUGAAAAGGAAAACCAAAAACGUGGGGGGCGGCUCCUCUUGAAAAAAAGAUGGGUUUAGGGUUAGGUUUUUUUUGUAUUUUUUUCUGAGGUUGUCAAAAUUGCCCCCCCA